rnacentral:rRNA from 1 species
UGGGGAAUAUUGGACAAUGGGCGCAAGCCUGAUCCAGCCAUGCUGCGUGUGUGAAGAAGGCCUUUUGGUUGUAAAGCACUUUAAGCGAGGAGGAGGCUACUUGGAUUAAUACUCUAGGAUAGUGGACGUUACUCGCAGAAUAAGCACCGGCUAACUCUGUGCCAGCAGCCGCGGUAAUACAGAGGGUGCGAGCGUUAAUCGGAUUUACUGGGCGUAAAGCGUGCGUAGGCGGCUUCUUAAGUCGGAUGUGAAAUCCCUGAGCUUAACUUAGGAAUUGCAUUCGAUACUGGGAAGCUAGAGUAUGGGAGAGGAUGGUAGAAUUCCAGGUGUAGCGGUGAAAUGCGUAGAGAUCUGGAGGAAUACCGAUGGCGAAGGCAGCCAUCUGGCCUAAUACUGACGCUGAGGUACGAAAGCAUGGGGAGCAAACAGG